GCUGCUGGGGCCGGUGGUGGCUGCAGCUCCUCUGGCCGUGCUGCAGCCCCCACCUUCCUUGGCAGCCCCUCCUCUGGCCGUGCUGCAGCCCCCGGAUUUUUUGGCAGCCCCUCUGGCCGUGCUGCAGCCCCCGGCUUCCUUCUCAGCCGCCAGCAGCCCCCAGCAGCCCCGCCUACCAGCAGGGAGAUCACGGGCUGGCAGCCCAGAGCGGGCAGUGUGAGGGACGGGAGGAGAGCAGCCCCGGGAGGGAUCAGGGGCCAGUAGAAGCAGAUGAUGAAGAAGAGGAUAUAGAGAUAGUUGUUGUAUAGAUAGUAAGAGGGUAUGAUGAUAGUUGAUAGCGACGUAGAUUAGUUGAUAGCGACGUAGAUUAGUUGAUAGCGACGUUGAUAGCUGAUGGUUGUAUACAGGUAGCGAACAGAUAGCAGAUAGCUAGGUGGGUUAUUGGUAGAGAGGUAGUUUGUGGAUAGCAAGGUAGUUAGCAGCAAGCAAGAGUUAGUAGCAAUGUAGUUAGAUCAUAGCCAGAUAGCUGAUAGGGGGAUGCAGGAUAGAAAGAUGGGUGACUGGGAGAUAGUUAAUUUAUAGACUGCAAUAGUGAAAGUUGCUGAAAAGAACUUUGUCUCUGUUUCAGAUGAGCCACUGCGCCCUGGGACACCACUCUCCCCUCAGUACGAUGAAGACCAACGCCUGAUGCUGCUCCAUCACCAGCAGAAGAACAGCAGCUCUGCAGAGACCCGUCCUGCCAGCAGAGCAUCACGGAGAAGAAGACGCGCCUUCUGCUCACAGGAAGGUACUCGUGCUGCAGCCGCCUCCCUGGCAGCCCCAGCAGCCCCGCACUGCCCCGCUUGCAGCUGCGGCCCCACCAGGGCAGCUGCAGGUGAUGGGCUGGCAGCCCAGUGCGGGCUGUGCGAGGGGCAGGGGGAGGGCAGCCCUGGGGCUGUGGGGGGCUGAUGGCAGUGGAUAGGGAAAUAGCGGACGGCAAGGCAGUUCUUGUCUUGACAGUACGUGAACUGCAAGGGAGUUGAUAGAUGGUGGCUAGCGGUAACAGAACCUUCCUUUGUCUUUGCUGCAGAGGAGUCCUUGCACAUCACUUGACCCCCUCCUCCAGGAGGAAGCAGGAUCAGCGCCCGGUGCUGCCCCAGCACCGGCAGAAGAACAGCGGCUCUUGGAAGCGUGACCUGCUGGGAGAUCGUCGGGGAGAAGAGGACGCGCCUUCUGCGCCGAGGGAGGUAUGUCAGUGUCUCUGCUGCCAGCCCAUCUACCCGCCUCCCCCAUCGCCACACAACCUCACCUCCCCCAGGGACCUGCAGGCAGGCCUAUUUGCAAACAGCAAGCACAGGCAAUGAACACAUCAGGUAAUUAAAU
rnacentral:lncRNA from 1 species